AGAGAUUUAACGCCUUCCACCAUGAGCUUCACAAGAAGUAUUUGGCAUAUGCAAGCCAUGAGGAGGCAUUGGCUGGUGGGACAAGCUUGGUCGAGCCCUUGGUAUGGGUUAAGCUAUGUGGCCGAUGGGGAAGUGACCACUUCAAGAAAAUCUCAAACAUAAAUAAGGAGAAUCGUAAGAAGCUGAAGAUUAAUCACACUGCAGGGCGGAAAUCGUUUGUGAGGAUCCUAGAGGAAAAGCGAUCCGAAGGAGCAAACUUAGUGGACUUCUACAAAGCAGUCCGUUGGU